CGUAGGGUGCGAGCGUUAAUCGGAAUUACUGGGCGUAAAGCGUGCGCAGGCGGUUUAGUAAGACAGGCGUGAAAUCCCCGGGCUCAACCUGGGAACUGCGCUUGUGACUGCUAAGCUAGAGUACGGCAGAGGGGGUGGAAUUCCACGUGUAGCAGUGAAAUGCGUAGAGAUGUGGAGGAACACCAAUGGCGAAGGCAGCCCCCUGGGUCGAUACUGACGCUCAUGCACGAGAGUGUGGGUAGCAAACAGGAUUAGAUACCCUGGUAGUCCACGCCCUAAACGAUGUCAACUAGGUGUUGGGAGGGUAAAACCUUUUAGUACCGGAGCUAACGCGUGAAGUUGACCGCCUGGGGAGUACGGCCGCAAGGUUA
rnacentral:rRNA from 1 species